GGAUUUUCAUUCCAAGCAGACAGACGAAAGAAAGAAAAGCAGAGCAGAAAACCCACGCGACGAACGAAGAGGAGAAAACCCAACUCGACGAACGAAGACGAACGAAAACCCAACGGCUGAAGGUCUCUCUCUCUCAGGUUUCGAUUUCGAAUAACGAACGAAGACGAACGACGAAGAUUGAAGCCAGCAUCCACCGAGGCAUCUCGAAGAAAAAAAAAAUAUGGUUAGUAGAUGUGAUUUUGCAAACCCUAACAGCUUAUCCAUCCUUUUCCAAUGCUUAUUUGAGCUUUUUGUGCUAUUUAUCAGUUAUUGUUUGAUUUCUUAUUCCUUGUGAAAUCAGCUUCUUUUCACUGUGUGAAAGAAAGGCAACAUAAUAGUUUUUUUUUUUUUCAAGUGCUGUGUUUUGAUAAAGCAACAAGAUUGGUUUUCCUCAUUAUCUUUGUAAGAAUGAAACUUGAUGGGUUGAAUCUAAUAUGGUUUUCCUCAUAUCAUUUGGUCGGGGAAUAGGUGGGGGCAUUGAAUCUUCCAUAUUGCCAGCACCCAAUCCGUGCCUUUGUGCUAGCUGAGCAUGGUUCUGCCAUGACUUAAAGAUACUGUAUACACUUGUAAUAUUGUCCACCCACUUAAGGCUGUUGGAGGAAAUUGGAUGUAGCAUUAGUAAAUCAUAUAGGCUUGCUACAUGUUAUUGAAUGUGUUCAGCUGAUAUAUUAGUUUUCACAAAAUAAAUGAGUUGCUUGUUAUCACUUUCCUGUAUACCGAUGUGUAUGAAUGAAGUAUUUUUGCCAUGUCUAUUUCUUGUGAAUCCUCAUGUUAGCAUAGCUGAAUUUUCGUAUUUUCCUAUCCUUUUUCCAUACUAGUGCUAUUGUUGCUAGUGCUGGUGCUAUUCUUUAGUCUCUAUUCUAUUUUUUUCCUAAUGCAUUACUUACAUCCAUUUUAAACAUUCCUUACAAAAGCUUGUUUUUGUUACUGGCUGUUCUCAAAAUGGAGUCACGGCAUAUAUUAGUGUGUCGACGAAAAUUUAUUCUUUUCUCUUUUCACAAAACCGGAACCUUUUAUGUGUAGUAUUACAUGUCUAUGUUCUCAUAUUUAAUAUGCUACAGAGAUAAUUUUGUUUGACACGGAUAUAGUAUUCACAGAUAUGAGUGGAGGAUGGCCAUGUAAAAUCAAUAUGGCCUCGGAGACUAGACUCAACCAAUUCUGAACAUGGCUGGUGUUCCUCCCACUGUUUUUGAUAUAGGUUUUGGUUUCAUAGAAACGUAUGGACUUGUUUUUACUUGAAGGACCAGAAGCUUGUUUGCAAAACUUAAGUUGGGAAAAAUCUUGCAAGUCUGCCUUUUUUUUCUUUUAUAUGACUUAGUAUCUUGAAUCUGUGGACAAAUAUUCUUAGGCAGGGGAUUGUAUUCCUAAGAAGCUCACAAUGGAAGGAAGUAGUUCGGGUAACAAUGAAAGUGGUGAUCCCGAUUUUGGGAUCUUUUGUUAUUGCGGAGAACCAAUACCAUUGAGCCACACAAGUACUUGCUCCACAGAUUUUCUGUCAGACCAGCAACACUUUGCUGUUGAUCAAUUUUAGUUGUCAUGGUUAUCUGCUGCUGGUUGCUGUUUACUGCUGCAGGCUGCUGCUGUUAUGGUAGCAGGUACUCACUGUUGAUGUUGUUACCUACGGGUUUUAUGACCUCUUUCUAUGAGGUGAAGCCCCAUGUUCAUUCCACCUAUUCCAUGAGGAAUUCAUCUUGUGCCAUUUGGUGGAUCAAGCGGAUGCAUAUUGGCAUUUUGUUAUCCUUUUGUUACUAUCACUUUGGAAACAGAGCAUAUCAGCUAGCUUAUGUAGCCAUUUGGUGUAAACAAUUUUUCUUUUACUCUUGUUUGUUUUUCUUUUUUUCCUUCUGGGGUAUGCCCCUUGUAAGCUGUAUAUUCGGUUGUCCUUUUAUUUCAAGCUAUUUUACCCAAAAAAAACAUUUGUAGUAGUUUGACUGUGGCCAGCUUCUGUGUUUGGUGUGAAGUACUUUCAGAUAUGUGUUUGGCCAGCUUUCUACUGUGACAUGUCCAUGGGAGGGGGCAUAGGACGUGUUCUCUUAUCUUCUCUGGUUCUUGAUCAUUCUUUGGAGAGGAAAAUAAUGGUAAAAAACAGAAAAGUUCA